GCACCACAAGGGGUGAAGCCUGCGGUUCAAUUGGAGUCAACGCCGGGAAACUUACCAGGGUUGACAGCAGUGUGAAGGCCAGACUAAAGAUCUUGCUAGACAAGCUGAGAGGUGGCGCAUGGCCGUCGACAGUUCGUGCCGUGAGGUGUCCUGUUAAGUCAGGCAACGAACGAGACCCCCACUGUUAGUUGCCAGCGGGUUCCAUCGGAACGCCGGGCACACUAAUGGGACCGCCGCCGAUAAGGUGGAGGAAGGAGGGGGCCACGGCAGGUCAGUAUGCCCCGAAUACCCUGGGCCACACGCGGGCUGCAAUGGUAGGGACAAUGAGUUCUGACCUCGAAAGGGGAAAGUAAUCUCCAAACCCUAUCGUAGUUGGGAUUGAGGGCUGAAACUCGCCCUCAUGAACCUGGAAUCCCUAGUAAUCGCGCGUCAUCAUCGCGCGGUGAAUACGUCCCCGCUCCUUGCACACACCGCCCGUCGCUCCAUCCAAGUCGAGUUUAGAUGAGGCGCAGCCUCGUUGACUAUGUCGAGUCUAAGCCCGAUGAGGGGGGAG
rnacentral:rRNA from 1 species